rnacentral:rRNA from 1 species
UGGGGAAUCUUGGACAAUGGGGGCAACCCUGAUCCAGCCAUGCCGCGUGAGUGAUGAAGGCCUUAGGGUCGUAAAGCUCUUUCGCCUGUGAAGAUAAUGACGGUAGCAGGUAAAGAAACCCCGGCUAACUCCGUGCCAGCAGCCGCGGUAAUACGGAGGGGGUUAGCGUUGUUCGGAAUUACUGGGCGUAAAGCGCACGUAGGCGGACCAGAAAGUUGGGGGUGAAAUCCCGGGGGCUCAACCCCGGAACUGCCUCCAAAACUAUUGGUCUAGAGUUCGAGAGAGGUGAGUGGAAUUCCAAGUGUAGAGGUGAAAUUCGUAGAUAUUUGGAGGAACACCAGUGGCGAAGGCGGCUCACUGGCUCGAUACUGACGCUGAGGUGCGAAAGUGUGGGGAGCAAACAGGAUUAGAUACCCUGGGUAGUCCACGCUGUAAAACGAUGGGUACUCGGUGUUGCGGGUGUUGACCCUGC